GGAGUAAAGCUUGCUGUGAGAAGUCAGCAGAGCGCCAUAGUACGCGAGCCACAACAGCGGCGAGGGGAAGGGC
rnacentral:ncRNA from 1 species